GCCCUACGGGAGGCAGCAGUGAGGAAUAUUGGUCAAUGGGCGGGAGCCUGAACCAGCCAAGUCGCGUGAGGGAGGACGGUCCUACGGAUUGUAAACCUCUUUUGCCGGGGAGCAACGGGGUCCUUGCGCGGUCCCAAUGCGAGUACCCGGAGAAAAAGCAUCGGCUAACUCCGUGCCAGCAGCCGCGGUAAUACGGAGGAUGCGAGCGUUAUCCGGAUUUAUUGGGUUUAAAGGGUGCGUAGGCGGGCUGUUAAGCCACCGGUCAAAUGCCGGGGCUCAACCCCG
rnacentral:rRNA from 1 species